GUUCCUGUAGCGCAAUGGAUAGCCCGUUGGACUUCUAAUCCAUCUGUCGUGGGUUUGAAUCCCACCUGGGAUG
rnacentral:tRNA from 1 species